CAAUCUUAUGAACCAUCUCCUCGGGGCUUUCCGUUACGGCAACAGUUUGCCCACCGUGUGUGUUCACCAAUAUUCAGUGGAUUUUUAGAUUUCCCUCUCCCUCUCCCUCUCCCUCUCCCUCUCCCUCUCCCUCUCCCUCUCCCUCUCCCUCUCCCUCUCCCUCUCCCUCUCCCUCUCCCUCUCCCUCUCUCUCUCUCUCUCUCUGUGUGUGUGUGUCUGUGAUUUCUGGAGAAAGAAGCAGGAGCUUGCAUCUGAUUCUGAAAGGAAGUGUAACUGAAAAAGAACAAAGGCCAACCAACCACUCCAGAGCUGAACCGGGUCAGAGAACAUUCGGAUAUGUUACACACACAGGUUUGUCAAAGGAUUAAUCUAAGCAGAGCCAGGCUUUGAAGGCUGGCUCUCCGAGAAGCAGAUAUCUAAAUAAGGCUCAAACUCGUACUGAUCUUCACUCGUGUUCAUCAAUGCCCGGCACAAGGAUAAAGACAGACAGUAUCUGGAUAAAUAAUUAACAUAGAGCUUAGAGCUUUUUGCUAUGAUGACCAGAGACUCUGCUCCCAUCGCUGAUGUCACCGGCAAGAUGCUGCCUCACAAAACAAAACAAAAUCGUGCUAACUCUUUUAUGUUAACUAAAAGUAAGCAUCUUUAACGAUGUAAGAGAAUUCGGACUCAGAUAAAACCCUGUAACUUGUAAAUUAUGGGGAUGUAGCUUGCUAGCAGAGCAGAGCGCAUGCCGGUGGAAGGCCCUAGCUCCAGUCUCAGCACCAGAGGCAAACAUCCUUGUGGCUGCAUCCAUUUAUAUUAUGGUCGUGCGUUACUCAAUGCGUGCCCUAUUCAAAGACCCUAUAAAGUUUUCUUGAAUUUUUCACACAAUUUAAGACGCUAAUGCCAAAACCUAAACAAGCUGAUGAUAUUUGCAUCUUUUGCUUUAGGGAUGUAGCAAAAACUAACUCAGCUUUGGAAGUUAAAGCGGAAUUGAAUUCAAAGUCAUGCAAUGUGUCCCAGCAGCGCCUCCUUCUGUUCUGGAUCUAGAAUGCACCGGAAUGAAACAUCUUUAAUUAUCAUUUAGGAUUUACUGUUCCUAAAGACCAGUGCACCAGGAACCUCUUGUUAUUUCUCCUGCCCUUUAAAAAAUUUUCUUACUAGGGGCAUUUGGUAGACAACUUAACGUAAUCUACUAAUUGCUGAGGUUGGAGAGAUUUUUUUUUUUUGUUUUUGCUUCCACUGAAGACAAUUCUGUGGAUCAUAGGCUCUGAGAACUUCCAGUACCACUGAGCCACCCAGAAAGGGCAAGGUAACAAAUGAGACAUGCUGAAUCAUCAAAGUGCAAGGUCGAAUUAUUUUAAUAUUUACACUAUAUUAUUAAAUUGUCCUUUAUCAUGGAUUUUUGCAUUGAUUUUAGUUUAAAAAGAUUUCUUCAAAGUAGUAUCUAUCUUGAUGAUUAAUUUCUGAGACACCAACCCACCUUUAAGCUCAACCCUAGUGCCCUAUUCGCCUCACCCUAGUCCUGGGUCCACUCAUUCAGGCCCUGCCAUUCCUAGAGGUCUAGAUAUGAAACUUUGAAGUCACCAUCCAGGCCGCCUCCCCAACUGAACUCAAUGACCAGCCAUAAAUGAGCAGUCAUGUCGUCUUUGCAAGUACAGGGUGCAAAGAAGCCAAAGUGAGCGCCCUAAUUGUUCUAGCGACAUGGAAUGGGGUUAAUGGGUUCCUGUGACGUAGGGAGGAGGUCCUUGGGUUCAGAGAAUCAUAAAACAAUAAACAUAUAACAUUUGGUUUGCCAUAAUAAAAGAAUAAAAGCUGUUGUAUUGGGCUGUUA